GUCGCGCACGCGCCCUGCGCCCAGCAUGAGGGUUGCGGCCCUGAUCAGUGGUGGGAAGGACAGCUGUUACAAUAUGAUGCAGUGCAUUGCUGCUGGGCAUCAGAUUGUUGCUUUGGCAAAUCUAAGACCAGAUGAAACCCGAGUAGGAUCUGAUGAAUUGGACAGCUAUAUGUAUCAGACAGUGGGUCACCAUGCCAUUGACUUGUAUGCAGAAGCGAUGGCUCUUCCCCUGUACCGCAGAACCAUAAGAGGAAGGAGCUUGGACAUUGGACAAGUGUACACGGAAUGUGAAGGUGAUGAGGUUGAAGAUCUCUUCCAGCUUCUGAAACUUAUCAAGGGCAUCACCAGAGUGACCUUGCCUGCUGAAUAAGAUGCUGUGAGACUCCCAAGAUUUUCACAUGCUUUUGGAAGUGGGCAGCCAGGCGAUUGUUAAGCACUCCAAAUGAACUGUGCAUUCACAGCGACUUUGAUAAACACACAUUUCCUCCUUUUAUCAGUGAGAUUUCAGAAUGUGAAGUAUGAGUUUCCAGUUUUACUCAUUCCCCUCAACCCUUUCCUGUUUAAAAACUUAGACACACUAAUUGCAUGCUAAGCUGUCCCUGUUUUUUAUUCCGCUUACUGGUAGUUGACGGCUUAUCCCAAUACUUACCUAGGCAAGGUUUGGUAAACCUUCAAAAGCAAACUUUCCAUGUAUUCAACAUGUAAUGCCAUGUGAGCACUAAUGAACAGUAACGACUGCUAACCAUGCUGCCUUCCAUGCCCUUAAGAGCACUGCUGUUAUAUCCAGUGUAGUUAAGAAAACACUUGUACAUGAGUCAGCAGUGCUGUGUCCUUUUAGCAGCUA